rnacentral:lncRNA from 1 species
UAAACAGAAUUACAGUGUUAAAUUAUCAAUUAGUUUAAUAUUCUAGAACUUUAAGUUUAUUUUCUUUUUACAUAUACUAAUUAAAUUUUGAAAUAAUCAAUCAUUAACGAACCGCUUGUUGAUUAAUUAGAAUGUAUUACGGUUAAUUGCAGAGUAUCUACUUCGAAUUUAUUUUGGACGUCGACGAGAUCCGACUGGAGAUUAAGUAUAAUAUUUUAAUAUGAAUGAUUUAUUAAAUAUAACUUUUCAUUUUUCAUAAUUUUGAUGAUAUAUGCUUAAUGAAGCAAGUUUAUUUAUCACUAUUUCGAAUUUUUAUUAAUAUUUUCCGAUCAUUUGCAGGUUAAAUACGAUUUAAAUUAGAAGCUGCUCAAUAAAAUUCGAUGUUAAACAACUGCAGUAUUUUACUUAAAACCUUUUAAAGCUAUGAUAAUCAAUUAUUAAACGUUUUCUCUCAGAUUAAUUAUGAAUGAUAUAUGAAGAUGGAGUUAUAUCAAAUCACGGCGCCAUCUUGUAAACCUACGAGACCGGAUGCUAUGAAUGUAUUCAACUGAAGUAGUAACGUGUAACGAUGCGCAGUUAUCACAUUUCACAGAUUAUCCACAGUCUGCUGAGAUAUUUCUCAUGGGUCCAAUAACCAUGAAUAUUUAAUAUGGCAUUUGUUGCUCUCUUUUAACAUACAGAUGCGAUUGUUAUGACUUAUGAGAAUUGAAGCGCUACUUUCCAUGAAUGAUUUGCCUAUUAUUUUAUAGUCUGUUAUAAACGCAAAACACUAAGAAAAAUGUUAACAGAUAAUUAUAAAUCAUCAUCGAGCCAUAAAUCAGAAUUCAUGAUCUAGGAGCACGCGAUGACAACUUUUGAUUAGUGGCCUAUCAAAAGAAUGAAUUAAUAGCAUCCUUCGUAAAUCUAUAGUAAAUAACUUCCUUAGAAGCAAAUGAUAAAAAAUUAUCAAAGAUAAAAAUAGAGGAAAGAAGUCAACUGUAACUAUGUCCCAAAGGAAACUCGACUAAGUUCACGUUUAAAAUGUAUAUCACAGACUACACGUACUUUCUGGAAUUGCACUGGAUAUUCCUUAGAGAGUGCUUACCCACAAAUCCACGAAUGUCUUCUUCUAUGGGAGUAAUUUGGUACUGGCAAAGUCAACCCACUUCGUCUAUCAUCAGAGCGUUGUCUUUGAGUCGAUAACAUUGUCUACUUGUAACUGACUUCAAAAACCGGACAUGAAGAAAUUCCUCUCCUUUAUACUUUCUUCAUUAAGGACAAGACGUUUCAGCAGUUAGGAUUUCAUACCCUUUUAUUGUUAGAAGCAUCUAUUCAAGUAUAUUCUUGUAUGAAAGAGAAAGAGCUCAUAUCAAUGGAAAGAUUAAUUGAUUGUAAGAAAAUGUGAAAAGUUGAUUGUAAGUAUAAAAUACUGUAGGCUAGACUAUUAAAAAAGGCAUUUUAAACCUCAUACAUGCAUAUAAUAAUACUACUUUAUACACAUAAUACAAGGCCGGUAGAUUAAUACAUAUAUUUUUAUUAGGUCCAUAACUAGAAGAGAUAGUAUUGGCUCGUAUAAAAUUUUGAUCCAUCCCUGUUUAUUGUUUC